rnacentral:hammerhead_ribozyme from 1 species
AUCUAGCUGACGAGUCCCAAAUAGGAGGAAAUGCGCGUACUUGAU